rnacentral:lncRNA from 1 species
AAAGCUUGCUACAGUAUCCGGAUAUGGAUCACGAGUCCAGUCACCGCGCGGCCGCAGGCCGUGCAGCGCCGCGUGCGCGCCUCGCCGCCACGCAGCUGCUUGCCGGCCGCGUCACCGCGCGACGUGGACGCCCGUGACCUCUGCGUCUCGACCUCUUGAGCGCCUGCGCGGCCGACCUCGAGCUCACUUACUCCGGCGACCGAAAGCACCCAGUGAAGCUCCACCGUCCAAUACCCUCUACACGCAACCCCUCUGGCCAAUUCGAGUUCUCCAACACCUUCGCCAUAUCCUUGCGAACCCCGUGUACGCCCAGGAACCCUCCCUGCCCCUCUCAAUCGCCCGGGCGCCGUCUUUCUUCCUCAGCUCCGGCUGAAAACGCCGCCGAGGAGCACCUCAACGUGGACAGGCCACCUCGAGCCAUUGCAGGACAAGAUACGGCCACCAUCAGGUGCGCACUAGUCCGGGCGAGCUUCCCCGCUGCUCCAAUGCCGCCGACGAGCACUCCAGCGCCGAAACCACGAUCUCCGGCGAGUUCCUCUGUUUUCAGUCGCGGCCAGGGACUUCGGGCGACAAUUUGAAGUUUCCCAGGGGUCUAAUUGCAGAGACUGUGACUCAGGUGAAUAGUGCUAUAAGGACUUGUUUGUAGAUGUUUUGUUGAAUCUUUAAAAAUUCAUAUCUAGAGUUUGGUAGCUCCAAUUUUGGUGAACCAAAUUUUGUUGUGCUCCUUGAGAUGUCUAGUUUUUAUUAAAAAUAUGAAACUGACCAUGUUUUGUAGUAAAAUAAUUGGUUAUGAUUUAUGCCUUUUAAUUAUGUUUAAAAAAGGAGAAAUUCAUAUCUUAUUCUGUGUAGAUCCUAUUGCCCUGAAAUUUUUAUGGUGUUCUCAUGAUGUUAUGUGAAUGUUGCAGUAAAAAUUUCAUGUUCAGUAAAUGAUAUAUGGUUAAGUUAUUAAUUUAUCUUAUUUAAUGCUUAUUAAAUAGUUUAAAAUUAAACUAAAAAUAAAUAAAUGUAAAAUAUGGUUCCACUGCCUUUAUAUGAGGUCUUUAUAUCAUACAAAUACAUAAUUUAGCUAUGUGUUUGUAGAAAAUGUCGAGUUUCUUAUUUAUCUUGAUGCUACAUGCUUUCUUGUGAUGGAAAUUUAUCUUUUUCAUGGAAAUUGCUAUACUUAUACAAAUGGUAUGAAAUUUAUACAGUAGACUUUGGAGAGCAUAUAUGUGCUUCUGUAGUUUUCUCAGAUUUUAUUGUGUACUUUUGAUAUAUGGUUAUUACUUUGUCUAUUUAUCUAAAUAAAUUAAUAAAGACAUAAAAAGAAUUUAUUUAGGGAUGACCAUGAUAUUUUCUAGUAUCUCUUUGAUGUAUUUCAACUUUUGGUGAGCUGGGUUUUGCCCAGGUUCAAGUUUGGAACAUAAAUGAAAUAUGAUUUCUCUAUAAUUUAAUUGUUAGUGGUUUCUUGAUAGUUUUUAGAGCAUUAUGAAUUUCUCUAGGUAAAUAAUGUUGGAUAUGAAACUUGUCUAUAACAAAGUUGUAUAGAAUUCAUGUAUCUAGCUGGUGUUAAAUUUUGGUGGCAUUUGGCUCUAUAGUUUCUGAGUUAUGCCUGUUUAAAUUUAAGUUUCAGAAAUGGUUUCUUUCUGUCAAAUCCUGGAUCAGUUUCUGUAGUUGUGCAAUUUCAACCUACUAAACUUAUGAAUUAUGUUUUCAUGAUAAAAGAUGAAUUGUAGUAAUUUUCAUAAGCUUUCCAAAAUGUUAUGGAUCAUGAAUUUUGAUGAUCUAGAACUCUGGUUAUAGAUGUAUGAAUCUUAAUGUCUGAUUCUGUCCAAGGUCUGGACAGAAUUGUUUAUUCAUACUGUUUGGCCAUGUUAUCUAUUAAAUCAGUUCUCGAAGAUAAUAAUAAAGUUGUAGAAAAUUAUAUAAGCUUUCCAGAAAGUCUAAUAUCACCUUUAUUGGAUGCUUGGAUCUCUAAUUAUGGUUGAAUAAAGUUGUGUAUAUGCUGCUGUCCUGGUUAUGUUGGUAAAUAGAGUUGAUUGUUUUAGCUAGCCUUUACUUAAAUAAUGAUUAGCUUAAUUUCCAAAUUAGAAUUUGAGUGCUUUUGGGAUUAUGUGAUGACCUGAGGUCAUUAUCUUUUAAUGACCUUUGGCACUUAAUUAUUGUUUGAUGUUAAUACUUAAUUAUUGUCUUUAAUAUUUAAUUAAGAAUUUAUUAAGAUAAAUAGAAAGCAUAAUCAUUUUAGGUUUUGAUUGAUCUUUGGGAUUGAUUGAUAACCAGUGGCUACUUGACAUGAUAUGCUCCCUGGUUAAGGAUUCUUUCAUGUAAAUGAUCUUUGUUGCUUAAUAACUACACAACAUUGCUUAAUGAAGAUGAUAAAAUUUGCUUAGUAGUAAUCUAUGCUUUGAUAACUAAGUUAGUUUGUUUCUAUACCAUGAAGGUGAGUUGUACUCGAGGUAGUUUUGUUUGUUGUUAUCAUCCAAGAACAUGUAACCUGUCUUUAUCAUGUCAUGAGCAUCUCAUUGAUCAUGCAUAUGCACCUCUACGUGUAGACUACGCUCCAGAGGAAUCUGAUCCUCAGUGGGUUGCUUCCGAGUUUGUGGGUCCAUCUGGUUUUGCUGAGUUGUCGGACUUCCCUUCCGGUCAAGGCAAGCCCCGGACAUUAAACCCUAUCCUUGUAUUUUCAUAAAGUUAUUUAUAUCACUUGAGUUAAUAUGAUGCAUUAGGUGAAUAGGAGUUGAGUGAAUCCUAUUUGCUGCAUUAUCUACCUUGAUGAUUUCCAUAUUAACCUUGAUACCUGCUUUAUGAAAAUGCUUAGUAUGCUUAGCCCUGCUUAUUAGAUAAGUUUUCAAAUGAGAACGUUUGAAGGGUCGUUGUGGAAUACUGUUAUGGUUAAUAAUGUUUAAACUUGAGACCGGUCGGUGGACUUGCUUUAAGAAUGGAGUCUUAAAGUAGUGUCUCCAACUGUGUCGAUUAAGGACCGUACCGUUGAUUGGCCUGUUGUGAUUGAGAACUUUGAGUACAGCCCACAUGCGGCGGUAAGCCUUACCUAUAGCUAUUCCGAUACUUGAGAACGGCUAACCGCGUACUGGGAGUGGAAAGAUGGCGAGAGUAGCGUGUACCCACCUUACGGAUCUGAGAUGACCGGGAAACAUCUAGAUUGGCUGUAGGAUGGUGGUGUACUGUACUCUCGGGUGACGCUGGACCCGUUCUUGUAUGGGAGGAUCUAUAGAAAAGGUUGACAUAUGCAAGAUUAAGUUCUACAUAUGUCGUGUGGUACUGAAUCCCCAGCUGGGUUUAAUCGAUUCGAAUCGCCGUGUUUCCUCGGAUAUGGAGCCUCAAUCCUCACACCAUCAUCGUAGUAACAAGUGAAUCUUUGGUAUAAGAAAGAUGUGGUAUACUUAUGCAAGUUUGAUAAUAGUUUUGGUUAGUCAUAAAUGAUAACCUUGAGUUAAAACUUGAAAGUAGGUUUAAUCUUAGUAAGCUUUUAUGCAAAAGAAAUGCUUUGAUCUUGCUAAAGCUUUACCUUGAAUCCCUAUAGCCUGCAUACCUGAGUCUUCACCUCUUUUCUAGUCGGUUAAGUCUUGUUGAGUACUUUUGUACUCAGGGUUUUAUAACCCCUGUUGCAGGUGCUGACUUAGACUGCUAAUGGAGGUCAUGUCGGUGGGCGCGACAUGAUUUAUCCACCUCUUCUACCUUAGAAGCUUCACCUAAGAUGCUUCCGCUACUCUAUACACCUUUUGGAAAUUUAGUUAAGUUUAUACUUCAUCAUAUGUUGUAAAUUAAGUUAUAAAUCUUCCGCACUCUGAUGUAAGUUAUUUUUGUAACAAAUGUUGUAAUGUUGUGGUAACUCCAUGUUGAUCCUGUAUGAGAUAAAAUGUGGAUGAUUCGGGGUCCUCCGAGGAUACCCGACAAACUUCUUGAGUCAUUUGGAACUCGUGCAUGCCGAUCACAAGUCUUGGAGACAAUGAUGGGUGCAUGUGGGCCACUUAAUUCAGGAGGUUCUGCCACAGCUGGUAUCAGAGCUCAUACAUGGAUCUUCUGCAACAUUACUUGUGAAAAAUUUCAAAAGGAAUUUACAAAUUAAAAGUUUUGAGGAUAACAACUUAUAAAUAUUCCUUAACUUUUCUUAUGCUUGCUGUUCGGGUUCUACGAAGACUUUCUGCUGACUCAAAUAGAAGACAUUAAAAGAGGCUUCAAGUCUUCGACAAGCCAAGUAAAGAAUCAAACUACUCCAACAAUGCUUUGUCAACAGUCUUGCAGCCUCCCUUUUGAAGCAAUAAAGAUAGUGUAUAAAGUAUGCCCUAUAUAAGCAAUUAUCUCCUAGCUAACGUUGUAAAGACGUAUGGGACGAGCAUAUUGCAUAUCUUGCAUAACAUGACAAUAUAAUGAUACUUAAAAGCCCCUCCUUAUGCUUCAAAACAGUUAUUAUUCGUUAUAGCUGUUUUAUUGAUGAAUCUCAUCAUGUACCAGGUUUCGUUAACUGAUUGAUAAUCUUUUACUCCAUAAGAUCCUAAUCCUUGAUUCAUUUGUUAUGCAUGUGACCUUCCUUGAUUUCAUCUAAUUCGGACACAUGCUACCUCCUUGAUAUCUUUUGUCAACAUUUUUGUUGAUUGAAUGUCACUAUGAUUGUGUCCUCUUAAGGUACCAUGACUUGUGACUUAGGUAACAAUGUCAAAACCUGGGAUCUCCUAUGGCUCAUGACCAUGAGGAAAUACUGCUGGGCGCUCAUUGUUAUCAAAGUAUAUGAUCAUGAUCCCUUAUAGUCCACAAUUAGGGUGUUUCAUUCUUUGGACACUCCUUAGGGAUUCAAAGUUGUCCUUUUGAGUUCCCUAAACACCUUGUGAUUGUGAUCGACUUUUGAUCUCAGUUACAUUCUUGGUCUUGUGAGACAUGGGUUAUUGUUGUGGUGCCCUAUAGUGGUGCCAUGUCCCGUGACCACGGUGCCGCGUCGGAACCUAGAGUCUUUUGUGUGUCCGGAUGACACAAAUUUCUACUGGGCGCGUGCAGGUAUCGAGGUUAUGGACAUGAUCCAUUAUAGCCCCACAACUAAGGUGCCCUCGCUCUUUGAGCCCUAUCAUGGGAACCCAUGCCCAUAUCUUUGUGGGAAUUACCUAAAGCCCCUGACUUGGAUAACCAACAUAUGUUGCUUGAAAGCUAUUGUAACUGUACUCUAUAGUAGGUACCAUGAUCCGUGAUCACGUUAUAGCGUCGAACCUCGUAGUCUCCUGUGGACUGCAGCCAUAAGGAAAUACUACAGGGUGCUCGUUAAACAUCGGGAUCUCUGGUCAUGCUCCACUAUAAUCUACUGUUAGUGUGCUUUCAUCCUCCUUGGAAGCUCAUUUGGAGAUUCAUAUCUUCGUAUGAAUUCUCUAAAAUUCCUGAUUGAUUACAACUUCUUGUUGAUCUUAGUUGUAAUUCUUGGACCAAUCGUAAUUGUUGUAUGAACUUCUCAAAAGUUAAUGUGCUUGACACAUUUCCUUUUCCAUUACUUAACCCCAUGGGUUUUAGUACCCUGGAAAUCUCGGGACGAGAUUUCUUUAAGGGGGAAGGGCUGUAACAUCCCUGAUGUUACGAACACUAAAACUGGAUCAUGUCAUCAUAAGCAUUGCAAAGCAUAUUUGUUAAGCACAUUAUUAUGCAUCAACUUAAAAUAAGGUUAUUUUGGUUGAUUGUGCUUAGGAAAUUAAAGUGUGCUUAUAUUGUGUAUGGAUGUUUGUGUUGGUGAUUAAAACCCUGGGUGGAAGUUUUUCCGAAAGACUUAAGGGGGGAAACCCUAGUUUCCAAAACCCUAGAAUUUGUCCCCUUUUGUGCAAUUCAAAAACAAAGCAAAAUUUGAAGUUGAGUUCAAAAGCAAAGUUGUAAAUCUUGUCAAGAUGUACAACUUUGGUGUUUUGAGUUUUUGAAGUUUCAGUACAAAAUUUAAAGUAAUUUUGAAAAUACAAUUUUCCAGAAAUUGUUCCCUUUUCCGAUUUGAAUCCCCAAUUCAAAAUCUAUUUGGAAUUUUGAAAAGUGGUCAACAUGAAAGUUGUAGGGCUCAAAAAGUUGAACAACUUUCAUGUUGGGAGUUUUUCAAGUUGUUUGGAAAAAUUAAAAGUAAUUUUGGAAAUUCUAAUCUGCUCCAAUUCAAAAUUUGGAAUUUCCCCAAUUUGGGAUUUUGAAAUUCAAACUGUUUUGCCAAAUUCACACUUUUCCACUCAGAUUUAGCUUUGGUCACCAAAAGGAGUUUUGUAGCUUGUAAAAUUCUUCACAACUUCCAUUUUGGUGGAAUUUUGUCUUCAGUUCAAAAUUUGGACGAAUUUUGCAAAACCACAAAACUGGUUGGAUAAAGCUUGCUACAGUAUCCGGAUAUGGAUCACGAGUCCAGUCACCGCGCGGCCGCAGGCCGUGCAGCGCCGCGUGCGCGCCUCGCCGCCACGCAGCUGCUUGCCGGCCGCGUCACCGCGCGACGUGGACGCCCGUGACCUCUGCGUCUCGACCUCUUGAGCGCCUGCGCGGCCGACCUCGAGCUCACUUACUCCGGCGACCGAAAGCACCCAGUGAAGCUCCACCGUCCAAUACCCUCUACACGCAACCCCUCUGGCCAAUUCGAGUUCUCCAACACCUUCGCCAUAUCCUUGCGAACCCCGUGUACGCCCAGGAACCCUCCCUGCCCCUCUCAAUCGCCCGGGCGCCGUCUUUCUUCCUCAGCUCCGGCUGAAAACGCCGCCGAGGAGCACCUCAACGUGGACAGGCCACCUCGAGCCAUUGCAGGACAAGCUACGGCCACCAUCAGGUGCGCACUAGUCCGGGCGAGCUUCCCCGCUGCUCCAAUGCCGCCGACGAGCACUCCAGCGCCGAAACCACGAUCUCCGGCGAGUUCCUCUGUUUUCAGUCGCGGCCAGGGACUUCGGGCGACAAUUUGAAGUUUCCCAGGGGUCUAAUUGCAGAGACUGUGACUCAGGUGAAUAGUGCUAUAAGGACUUGUUUGUAGAUGUUUUGUUGAAUCUUUAAAAAUUCAUAUCUAGAGUUUGGUAGCUCCAAUUUUGGUGAACCAAAUUUUGUUGUGCUCCUUGAGAUGUCUAGUUUUUAUUAAAAAUAUGAAACUGACC